rnacentral:rRNA from 1 species
GCAGUCGAGCGGUGAGAGGAGCUUGCUCCUCUUGAGAGCGGCGGACGGGUGAGUAAUGCCUAGGAAUCUGCCUGGUAGUGGGGGAUAACGUUCGGAAACGGACGCUAAUACCGCAUACGUCCUACGGGAGAAAGCAGGGGACCUUCGGGCCUUGCGCUAUCAGAUGAGCCUAGGUCGGAUUAGCUAGUUGGUGAGGUAAUGGCUCACCAAGGCGACGAUCCGUAACUGGUCUGAGAGGAUGAUCAGUCACACUGGAACUGAGACACGGUCCAGACUCCUACGGGAGGCAGCAGUGGGGAAUAUUGGACAAUGGGCGAAAGCCUGAUCCAGCCAUGCCGCGUGUGUGAAGAAGGUCUUCGGAUUGUAAAGCACUUUAAGUUGGGAGGAAGGGCAGUAAAUUAAUACUUUGCUGUUUUGACGUUACCGACAGAAUAAGCACCGGCUAACUCUGUGCCAGCAGCCGCGGUAAUACAGAGGGUGCAAGCGUUAAUCGGAAUUACUGGGCGUAAAGCGCGCGUAGGUGGUUUGUUAAGUUGGAUGUGAAAUCCCCGGGCUCAACCUGGGAACUGCAUUCAAAACUGACUGACUAGAGUAUGGUAGAGGGUGGUGGAAUUUCCUGUGUAGCGGUGAAAUGCGUAGAUAUAGGAAGGAACACCAGUGGCGAAGGCGACCACCUGGACUAAUACUGACACUGAGGUGCGAAAGCGUGGGGAGCAAACAGGAUUAGAUACCCUGGUAGUCCACGCCGUANACGAUGUCAACUAGCCGUUGGAAGCCCUGAGCUUUUAGUGGCGCAGCUAACGCAUUAAGUUGACCGCCUGGGGAGUACGGCCGCAAGGUUAAAACUCAAAUGAAUUGACGGGGGCCCGCACAAGCGGUGGAGCAUGUGGUUUAUUCGAAAGCACGCGAAGAACCUUUACAGCCCUGACAUCCAUGAACUUCU